rnacentral:rRNA from 1 species
UACGGAGGGAGCUAGCGUUGUUCGGAAUUACUGGGCGUAAAGCGCACGUAGGCGGCUUUCUAAGUCAGGGGUGAAAUCCCGGGGCUCAACCCCGGAACUGCCCUUGAAACUGGAUAGCUAGAAUCCUGGAGAGGCGAGUGGAAUUCCGAGUGUAGAGGUGAAAUUCGUAGAUAUUCGGAAGAACACCAGUGGCGAAGGCGACUCGCUGGACAGGUAUUGACGCUGAGGUACGAAAGCGUGGGGAGCAAACAGG